rnacentral:rRNA from 1 species
UACGGAGGGUGCAAGCGUUGUCCGGAAUCACUGGGCGUAAAGGGCGCGUAGGCGGCUCAUGAAGGCUGUGGUGAAAGUCCGGGGCUCAACCUCGGAUCGGCCGUGGCGACUCGUGGGCUGGAGCACUGUAGAGGCAGGUGGAAUUCCGGGUGUAGCGGUGGAAUGCGUAGAGAUCCGGAAGAACACCAGUGGCGAAGGCGGCCUGCUGGGCAGUGGCUGACGCU